GGUGAAUUAUUAUAACAGUCAACAGUGCGUAAAUGCGGUGGAACAAGACCUUCAUCAUCUUGGGGACCAAUAUUUAUAGUAGUGACACGUUUAUUCACGAAUUAGGGAAUUAAACGACAAAUCCGGUUAAUUUCCACGGGUCUCUCGCUACCCCAUGCAAUAUUUAUACAUGUAAGUAUUGUGUUUGUUCGCUCUUGCUAUAAAUAAAUAGGUAAAUAUAAAUAUAUAUACGCUGACGUGAGUGUAUAUUUUACGAACUAUGCGACCCUAUAACUAGCAACCGUACGUAAUGCAUGAUGUAUAUUACCGUGACACAAUACACUAGCACCUAUACACAGUGCGCUUUGCUCCCGUUGAGUGGAUUUUAAUAAUGAUAAAUUGGAAGCGAUUGUGUCGAUUUUAUGUCUGUGACGUAAAACUCGAAUGAAUAUUAACUAACUAUAUAUUAUAGACUGACUAGUAAAAUAUUAUGUACUCAACAAAUGCUUCCUA